rnacentral:lncRNA from 1 species
UGCUGUAUCUGCUGUAAGUUGUCCUCUCCGUUAGGGAAUAUCUAUUGAGAGCAUCAUCUCCUGGAGCAUUACCUGUACUUUUAUAUCUGCUUGAAACCAUCCUGGAGGAGUCCUGUAUUAAGUACGAACCAGUGGAAUCUGCACUGGAACUCUCAUUUUGUAUCGUAUUCUGUUGGGUGAUAGCAUCCUCUUUCUUUCGCUCCUUCUGCCCUGCUUCAUCAUCUUCAUACUCAUCAAGGCUCUCGGCAGCCGGGAUGUUCACCACACCUGUGGACCUCCUUUUCUCCCGCAGCUUCCUCUUCUCGAUCUGCCCCUUCCCUUUCCUGGCGCUGGGGCCGGAGCUCUUCCCCUUGCCCGCCGGCUUCUCCUCGCCCUCGGUGGGGCCGGGCGCGGCGGCGGCGGCGGCGGGCGGUUGCUUGGCGGGCUCCCUGCCGGCAGCGGGGCCCGGCGGCGGCUCCUUGCCGGGGGCGGCGCGGCCCGGGCCGAGGCAGUUCGCG